AGCAUCACUCAGGUGUUCCUGAGGGUCCACGGGAGAUGCAUGUAUACGCUAUGAUAAUGAUGCUUGAACACGGGGACAAUCUGGGGGCAAAGGCAGACUCACGCAGGAACACCCCGAAAACGUGGAUGUGGAAAGCACCCUUCCCCAAAGGCACAAGCACAUUCCUUUGAUUGGCACAAGCCAUUUCUGACAAUGGAUCCGCGGUGACAGGGGCUGCUCCGCAAUCAGGAAGUGAGUGAGUCUAUCAGUGUGUCUGUGUGUUGUGGGGGAGGGAUGCUCUAGUUGUGAUCAAAGCUGGACCUUUUCAGAGGUCUAGAAUCCUGAAGACAGACUUCGAGGUGAGGCGGGGCAUUUAUCAUUUCUACUGGAGAUAUCCCUCGACAAUGAACAUGUUACAUGGAGAUGUAACGGGGGUGUCACUACCUUUGGUGUCUCCGAUCUAAGAAUCUUCAGCAGAGCCUGAUUGGAGGGGAGGAGGAGGUGGGGGUGGAGAAAGGUCUGCAUUACCCACUGGGGGGAUGAUGCAGCAAGAAGACCCACACCAGAUGAGGGCACCUUGAUAUUGGAUUUCCCAGCCUCCAGAACUACAGAGUCUUGCUCUGUCACUCAGGCUGGAGUACAGUGACACAAUCACGGUUCACUGCAGCCUCGACCUCCCAGGCUCAAGUGAUCCUCCUGCGGCAGCCUCCUGAGUAGCUGGGACUACAGGCCUGUGCCACCAUGUCCAGGUCCAAUCCACUGCUAAGAGAUCCAUACAUACUCCUUGGGCGUUCUCCAGAUGAAAAAAUCAAGAGGAGGGAGAAAGAUACUCUGCUAGCUUCAGAUUCAUUAGUACUAGGAAAUGGAGAGAUAGAAGGUAUAAUGUAUUAGGGAAGCAAGGGAUUCAGAACCAGGUGCCCACUGACUCCGAGAAGCACUGGGUGCACGGAGGGUAGCAGACAAGCAAGAGGGUGGAAUUUGCAGCAUCUCAUCUUGGUGAGACAGUUGGAAGACUUUUCUGCCAAUUAUAGUGGUUAAACACUGACUCAACAUCAAACAACGGCAUGA